rnacentral:rRNA from 1 species
GACGAACGCUGGCGGCGUGCCUAAUACAUGCAAGUAGAACGCUGAAGGAGGAGCUUGCUUCUCCGGAUGAGUUGCGAACGGGUGAGUAACGCGUAGGUAACCUGCCUGGUAGCGGGGGAUAACUAUUGGAAACGAUAGCUAAUACCGCAUAAGAGUAGAUGUCGCAUGACAUUCGCUUAAAAGGUGCAACUGCACCACUACCAGAUGGACCUGCGUUGUAUUAGCUAGUUGGUGAGGUAACGGCUCACCAAGGCAACGAUACAUAGCCGACCCGAGAGGGGGGUCGGCCCACCUGGGAACGGGGCCCGGCCCCAGAUCCUAAGGGGAGCAGCCGUAGGGGAUCAUCGGCCAUUGGCGGCAGUCUGACCGAACCACGCCGGGUGGGGUAAGGAGGGUUUCGGGUCGUUAAGCUCUGUUGUAAGGGAAGGACGAGUGUGAGAGUGGAAAGUUCACACUGUGACGGUAUCUAACCAGAAAGGGACGGCUAACUACGUG